rnacentral:rRNA from 1 species
CCUACGGGUGGCAGCAGUGAGGAAUAUUGGUCAAUGGGCGCGAGCCUGAACCAGCCAAGUCGCGUGAGGGAAGACGGUCCUAUGGAUUGUAAACCUCUUUUGUCGGGGAGCAAAAGACGCCACGCGUGUCGUUCCGCGCGUACCCCACGAAAACGCAUCGGCUAACUCCGUGCCAGCAGCCGCGGUAAUACGGAGGAUGCGAGCGUUAUCCGGAUUUAUUGGGUUUAAAGGGUGCGCAGGCGGAAGAUCAGGUCAGCGGUAAAAUUGAGGGGCUCAACCUCUUCGAGCCGUUGAAACUGGUUGGCUGGAGUGAGUGAGAGGUAUGCGGAAUGCGUGGUGUAGCGGUGAAAUGCAUAGAUAUCACGCAGAACUCCGAUUGCGAAGGCAGCAUACCGGAGCGCAACUGACGCUCAUGCACGAAAGUGUGGGUAUCGAACAGGAUUAGAUACCCUGGUAGUC